GACGAACGCUGGCGGCGUGCUUAACACAUGCAAGUCGAACGGUAAGGCCCUUCGGGGUACACGAGUGGCGAACGGGUGAGUAACACGUGGGUGAUCUGCCCUGCACUUCGGGAUAAGCCUGGGAAACUGGGUCUAAUACCGGAUAGGACCACUGCCUGCAUGGGCGGGGGUGGAAGGCUUUUGCGGUGUGGGAUGGGCCCGCGGCCUAUCAGCUUGUUGGUGGGGUGAUGGCGUACCAAGGCGAUGAGGGGUAGCCGGCCUGAGUGGGUGGCCGGCCGACCUGGGACCAAGAGUCGGCGCAGACUCCUACGGGAGGCAGCAGUGGUGAAUAUUGCUCAAUGGGCGCACGUCUGAUGCAGCGACGCCGCGUGAGGGAUGACGGCCUUCGGGUUGUAAACCUCUUUCAGCACCGGCGAAGCGCAAGUGACGGUAGGUGCAGAAGAAGGACCGGCCAACUACGUGCCAGCCGCCGCGGUAA
rnacentral:rRNA from 1 species